rnacentral:rRNA from 1 species
CGGUGGAUGCCCUGGCAGUCAGAGGCGAUGAAGGACGUGCUAAUCUGCGAUAAGCGUCGGUAAGGUGAUAUGAACCGUUAUAACCGGCGAUUUCCGAAUGGGGAAACCCAGUGUGUUUCGACACACUAUCAUUAACUGAAUCCAUAGGUUAAUGAGGCGAACCGGGGGAACUGAAACAUCUAAGUACCCCGAGGAAAAGAAAUCAACCGAGAUUCCCCCAGUAGCGGCGAGCGAACGGGGAGCAGCCCAGAGCCUGAAUCAGUGUGUGUGUUAGUGGAAGCGUCUGGAAAGGCGCGCGAUACAGGGUGACAGCCCCGUACACAAAAAUGCACAUGCUGUGAGCUCGAUGAGUAGGGCGGGACACGUGGUAUCCUGUCUGAAUAUGGGGGGACCAUCCUCCAAGGCUAAAUACUCCUGACUGACCGAUAGUGAACCAGUACCGUGAGGGAAAGGCGAAAAGAACCCCGGCGAGGGGAGUGAAAAAGAACCUGAAACCGU